GCAACAGCACAAACGUCAUGAACGGGAACACCGUUUCGAAUUCCGUAGACAUUUUCAUAAGUUUGUUGAAAGACAGUCAUCAAUUCUACCAGUGUGGAACUAAAUGGGUUGCUAUGUUGACGCAGUAACUGAAUAAUGUUUGCAUCUAAAAGUACUUUAUGAGUGACAUCUAGCGGCACCAUAAAUAGUUUGCCGAUAAGUGAUUUAGUCUCUAAAACGAGCCUAGCUGCCUCAGGAUCAGCAUACACGUUGAAUUCUGCUUGAGAAGUAAUAUUUCCAAUGCCUGUGCUACCACCCAUAAAUAUAAACCUUUCUAUGUUGUCGGUAACGCUUGGGUACGUUGCCAAUAACAAUGCAAUGUUUGUCAAAGGACCGGUAGCUACGAGAGUGACAGGCUCUGGAUAAUUAGAAAUAGUGGUAUACAUAGCGAACACCGCAUCAGGAGUAGCCUUCUUUUUGGGAUAAUCAGGAAGCAAUGAAAUCCCUGCAAGCCCAUUCGUACCAUGUAUGUGAGUAGCGAACGCGGACUCGCGCAUCAAGGGCUUCGCUGCGCCAGCAUGAACAUCAACAUCUUGAUUUAAAAGCUCCAUUACCGCUAAAGCAUUUUUGGUAGUAAAUUCUAGCGUUGUAUUACCAUGUACGGUACUAACACCCAAAAUUUUACAAUGUCCAGCGCAAGCAGCCAAUGUUAAGGCGACAACAUCGUCAUGUCCAGGAUCGCAAUCGAUCCAUAUGUUAUAGUUUUCUAAUGCGGAGCCUUUUUGGAAUGAAUCAAUUGUGUUAGUCAUGGUGCCACAAUAAUCACUAAGCUUAAAAAAAAAUCGAUUAGUACUAGCUAUGAGGUUUUUUAUGACUUUAUUACUUUGGACAUCCGAAGAUAAUAUUCUUGCUGGACGAGGACACAAUAAAAUAUAUGGCUAAUAACCUUGCAAAGAGAUAUGUGGUGUUGUGGUUUAAAAAUGGUAAUAAAUAUUGCACAGAUGGAUAGCCUAGUAGCCCCUAAUGCGGAAAUUGUCUAUUCAACCGACCUUGUAAGUAGACAAUUAAUGUAUCAAAAAUGCCGACGCUUGAAAUCUAUCUUCAUCAAUUUUCGUUUAAUUUUCCGCUGUUCUGGAUACAUUUGAGUAACGCACUGCAAGAGAGUGGCUCACAAAACGUAGAAAAACGUUAUUUUGACUUAUGAUUUGAAAUUUAUUUGCUACGGUUAGUGUUUGCAAUGACUUUCCGUUUAAUUCCUGAAACCAUUUAUCAACAGCUAGCAUGAUUAAAAACUAACCGAAUUUUUUGUUUGCUAAUGAAUAA